GCAAAUUUCUGAAGCUAACCAGCGAAAACUUCACCCCAUGUUCAGACCUGAACAUAAACAGCUUCUUGUGUUUGUGUGCUGAAUUCUCAUAAAAAGCCUCUUCAGCAGGAAAAAGAGCAGCUUGGACAUCCUGCUACUCUUCAAAAGACACAAGGACAAAUGCAGAAGUUCAGCGCUGAACCUUCGGCGAAGUUUGAGGGCUCCUCUCAUCGACGUUGAUCAUUUUAGGGUACU
ensembl:lncRNA